GCAUAAAUUCUCUGUCAUAAAUCUGAUCAUCGUAGCAAUUAAUCAGGCUGAAGUGGUGCCCACUGAAGGGCAUUUGUCAUUUUAUGGCAUCCACAUUUUCUCUUGUAUCAUUUGUUCACGCAAAACAAGAACUUCUGGUUUCUAUGUUGCCAUCCAAGAGUAGCAAUAAGAAAUUAUUUUAGUUGCUUCAAGCUAGUUCCUAAUGAAUAUAUUUCUCUAUGCUAUCUAGGUUGCCAGAAAUUCUUAUGGCAAAAAGGAUGAGUAAAGGGUUAACUUUCCUUCAUCUCAAAGAUGGGGAGAAUAUUGUCUUGUAAUUUGGGGAUUUCCAGUGCUGCCACUCAAACACUUUAUUCUAAAAAUCAUAAUGCUAACUGAAAUGUUACAGAAUUUGAGAAAAAGAGCUAAAGGAAGUGUCUUAUUAAAAACACUUUCCUGAUGUGGGAAUAAUGAUGCUCAGCAGGUAACAGUAGAACAGUGAGGGGAUCUCUUUGUCAUAGCUUGCUGUUGCUCCCAGUUUCCCUUGCUGAUCAGUUUCAGACAUUACCUUGGAAAUGACAGUGUGUAAGGAUAUGGAUGUGCUUAAUUUCCUUUCAAUUUCCUUGCCUGGUGUCCAUUUCUGUUGCCUAAUGCCUGGGGACAAGUACAAUUGGAACUAUGGUAUGCAGCCAACAAAUCCCCAUUAAAAAUCCCCAUUUAAAGGGUUUGCAGUUUUAACCUACAAAUGUUUCUAUUUAGACCCCACUGAAAACAAUGUUACCAGGUUUGGUAGUGAUUUUGGGGGUAAAAUUCAUAUCUCUAUUAGCAGCACUGACAUGUCUGAUUAAUUUUACACAGAGCAGUGAGGUGACAUGGUGUCUGGACUACAACAGGAUGCAGAUUUAAAGUACCACACUCUUCUCCCCUGGGCAACAUCAUGGUUCUUUUGGUCCACGUGAAGUUGGGAAGCCUUAAUUUUUUAUUUGUUCACCCAAAAUUGUGAUCAUAUUUAAUAAUUCAUGACAGCUACCUGGCACAAUUUCAAUUCAUGUGCCUAAAUCUCGACAAGCACUAAUUAAAUCUGGCCAACAAACCUUCCCUUAGUACACACACCCCACUCACCAGUAGAUGGCCUUGGUCACAAAGCUAUUGUGGCUGGGAAGUAACUGAUUUAAUGAGACUGUAAGUGGGGUAAAGGAUAAAAUGGUAGAAGCAUUAAGUGCUUUUUAAAUAAUUCAGAUUUGUAUUUUUAAUUUAAAAAAUCUUGAUAUUUUUCCUUGCUUUCAUAGUGAGUCAACGAUAGUGUCUUGUGUUCUCUCUGCAGUGCCUCCCCAUUUUAAAGUGGCAAUUUAUCUGCAUUCUUAAUGUGGGAAAGAUGUGCUGUACGUGUGAAUUCACACAGGCACCUCUGUGGCUGACAGUAGCAAAGCUAAUUUUUAAUAUUUACAGUUUGAAAUAUGUUUAUCAUGUUGAUUGUGGUUCCUUUGCCUCCUGUCCCAGCAUUGUCUGAUUACUUCAAGGGACACAUUUAGCUUUCUCCAGUUUCUAAGGCAUGUUCAAGCUUGACUUUAUCAUCACUUUGGGUUAUAUUUAGUUAAUUAUUUUGAGGUCUUAUGGCUGGAAAUCUGUUUAGUAGUAAAAGUCAUAUUUUUUAUCACAGUAGUGAUCAUACUCCUUCAAAACUUCACAGCUGCCCUGCUUUUUUUGUUUGUUGUGUGAUUAAGCUUGAUUUCUGGCCCAUGUGCUCUAUUGGUUGCAGGUGGGGGCUUUGAGAUUCCUUCCUCCCAGGCUGUAAUGACAUGAUGGCUCACAGCUUAAAAGAGAUGGGAUAGAAGAGUGUGUUCUGCUUUUAGUUUCAUUUCUCCUGUGUGCAUGGGUGUGAUAGCUGAUCUCUAGGCACUGGGCCACAUGUAGACACAGGAAGAGGUAUUUAGCUGUUAAAAAAGCAAGCAGUGCCUACACAGCUGUGCUUUUGUUCUUCUAAGGGAAAAGCACCUGGGGCAAAUGCUGUUGCACAGGGACUGUCAGGGUUUUUGUACUCAAGAUAUACAGCUGCAGUUCUUGCAAUCUGCUGUGUCUCCGCACUGCUCUGCUGACCGCCCCGUAUGCAGAUUUGGAGCCUCCUUUGUUAAGAGCUACUUGGUUACUGGUUUGGAGCAGCUGGAUGCCAAUUUCAUUCCCUAAUUCACAGUGCUGAGGAGCCUUUGUAACCCUUAUUUGUCUGCAGAACAACCCCAACCUUGCACUGACCCAUUUAUAACUCUUACUCUGCUGCAGUCUCCU